CAGCCGCCACGGUAAUACGUAGGGUGCGAGCGUUAAUCGGAAUUACUGGGCGUAAAGCGUGCGCAGGCGGUUUUGUAAGACAGGCGUGAAAUCCCCGGGCUCAACCUGGGAAUGGCGCUUGUGACUGCAAAGCUAGAGUGCGGCAGAGGGGGAUGGAAUUCCGCGUGUAGCAGUGAAAUGCGUAGAUAUGCGGAGGAACACCGAUGGCGAAGGCAAUCCCCUGGGCCUGCACUGACGCUCAUGCACGAAAGCGUGGGGAGCAAACAGGAUUAGAGACCCGAGUAGUCCCUGUCUCUUAUAC
rnacentral:rRNA from 1 species